UGUCUGGAGAAAGAAAGAGAGGAGAAAACCCUCUUACAAGAACAAGUAUGCAAUUCCAACUCAAAUCAAGGUCAAUUGGAUGUGAAAUCAAUGCAUGAAAGAAGAAUCCUUACCAUCUAGACAAGAUAAAACAUGUGGAUCAUGUCAAGGUGGGUGGAACCGUGGAAGGCUAACGGGAAGGAUGUGAGGAAGCAAGUAUGAAACGGACGCUUAAGGUAUGGGAACGCCGGACCCUCGAGGAAUUGAUGUCGGACUCGAGUAAAUAAAAUUGAGAGGAUGUUUCAAUGGAAUACAUUACGUAGCUAGA